ensembl:lncRNA
GUCAGGAGUGUCAUUAUCAAGGUGGUGUUAUGAAGGGGAGAGGUGUCAUUAUCAGGGUGGUGUUAUAAAGAAAAAGACAAGUGUCAUUAUCAAGUUAGUGUGAUAACGAAGUGGAGAGAUGUUUCAUUUAUCAAGGUGGUGUUAAAAAUAAGGGGAGAGUUGUCAUUAUCUAGGUGGUGUUAUGAAGGAGAGAAGUUUCAUUAUCUAGGUGGUGUUAUGAAGGAGAGUGGUUUAAUUAUCUAGGUGGUGUUAUUAAGGAGAGUGGUUUCAUUAUCUAGGUGGUGUUAUGAAGUAGAGAGUCAGGUGUGUCAUUAUCUAGGUGGUGUUAUGAAAGAGAGGGGAGAGGUAUGUCAUUAUCAAGGUGCUGUUAUGAAGGAGAGAGAAGUUUCAUUAUCUAGGUGGUGUUGUAAAGAGGGAGAGAGGUGUGUCAUUAUCUAGGGGGUGUUAUAAAGGGGAGAGGUGUGUCAUUACCUAGGUGUUAUUAUUAAGGGGAGAGGUGUGUCAUUAUCUAGAUGGUGUUAUAAUGAAGGGGAGAUGUGUGUCAUUACCUAGGUGGUGUUAUUAAGGGGAAUGGUGUGUCAUUACCUAGGUGGUGUUAUUAAGGGGAGAGGUGUGUCAUUAUCUAGAUGGUGUUAUAAUGAAGGGGAGAUGUGUGUCAUUACCUAGGUGGUGUUAUUAAGGGGAAUGGUGUGUCAUUACCUAGGUGGUGUUAUUAAGGGGAGAGGUGUGUCAUUACCUAGGUGUUAUUAUUAAGGGGAGAGGCAUGUCAUUACCUAGGUGUUAUUAUUAAGGGGAGAGGUGUGUCAUUACCUAGGUGGUGUUAUUAAGGGGAGAGGUGUGUCAUUACCUAGGUGGUGUUAUUAAGGGGAGAGGUGUGUCAUUACCUAGGUGUUAUUAUUAAGGGGUGAGGCAUGUCAUUACCUAGGUGUUAUUAUUAAGGGGAGAGGUGUGUCAUUACCUAGGUGUUAUUAUUAAGGGGAGAGGUGUGUCAUUACCUAGGUGGUGUUAUUAAGGGGAGAGGUGUGUCAUUACCUAGGUGUUAUUAUUAAGGGGUGAGGCAUGUCAUUACCUAGGUGUUAUUAUUAAGGGGAGAGGUGUGUCAUUACCUAGGUGUUAUUAUUAAGGGGAGAGGUGUGUCAUUACCUAGGUGGUGUUAUUAAGGGGAGAGGUGUGUCAUUACCUAGGUGUUAUUAUUAAGGGGAGAGGUGUGUCAUUAUCUAGGUGUUGAUAUUAAGGGGAGAGGUGUGUCAUUAUUUAGGUGGUGUUAUAAUGAAGGGGAGAGGUGUGUCAUUACCUAGGUGUUAUUAUUAAGGGGAGAGGUGUGUCAUUACCUAGGUGGUGUUAUUAAGGGGAGAGGUGUGUCAUUAUCUAGGUGGUGUUAUGAAGGGGUGCGGUGUGUCAUUAUCUAGGUGGUGUUAUGAAUGGGAGAGGUGUCAUUAUCUAGGUGAUGUUAUGAAGGGGAGAGGUGUGUCAUUAUCUAGGUGGUGUUAUGAAGGGGAGAGGUGUGUCAUUAUCUAGGUGGUGUUAUGAAGGGGAGAUGUGUGUCAUUAUCUAGGUGGUGUUAUGAAGGGGAGAGGUGUGUCAUUAUCUAGGUGGUGUUAUGAAGGGGAGAUGUGUGUCAUUAUCUAGGUGGUGUUAAAAUUGGGAGAGGUGUGUCAUUACCUAGGUGGUGUUAUGAAGGGGAGAGGUGUGUCAUUAUCUAGGUGGUGUUAUGAAUGGGAGAGGUGUGUCAUUAUCUAGGUGGUGUUAUGAAGGGGAGAGGUGUGUCAUUAUCUAGGUGGUGUUAUGAAGGGAAGAGGUGUGUCAUUAUCUAGCUGGUGUUAUAAUGAAGGGCUGUUAAGGGACAGUCCAAGUCUAGUCAUAGUUCAUGCACAACUUCUGACCAGAGCCCUGUAUAGUGUUGCAGUAGAUCAGUGUUUCUCAACCCUGCUCCUGGGCGCCCCCCUGCCCUGCAUGUUUUAGAUCUCUCCCUGCUCUGUCACACCUGAUUCAAAUGAUCAGUUCACUAUCAAGUCCUUCAAGAGCUACAUCAGGUAUGGGAGAGCAGGGAGAGAUCUAAAACAUGCAGGGCAGGUGGGCGUCCAGGAGCAGGGUUGAGAAACACUGCACUAGAUUACUUGUUAUUUGGGACUCUGAGAGUAGUUACGUGAUUCUGCAAUCACUCUCCAAAACCACACUAUCACUCUCCAAAAUCACAAUAACACUCUCCAAAACCACACUAUCACUCCAAAACCACAGUAUCGUUGUUCAAAACCACACUAUCGCUGUUCAAAACCACACUAUCACUUCAAAACUACACUAUCACUUCAAAACCCCACUAUCACUCUUCAAAACCACACUAUCACUCUUCAAUACCAUACUAUCACUCUCCAAAAUCACACUAACACUUUGCAAAACCACACUAUCACUCCAAAACCACACUAUCACUCUUCAAAACCACACUAUCCCUCUCCAAAACCACACUUUCACUACUAAUCAGAUACAGGAUAACAUCAGCAGAUGUUUGAAGAGUUGAGAGAAAGGCAGUAGGGCUGUAAAAGGGAGAAGAUAUGUUAGAGGGAAAGUAGUGGUGAAGAGAGUAGAGGUGUCAACUCCAGUUAGACCAUACAGACAUCUAAACGCUGCCUACUAAGUCUCCCACUCUAACCUGUUCUCACACAGCUAACUGCAUCACCCAGGCUGGCAGCUACUCUGAUAGCAGCUGUGUUAUCUAGUUAUGGCAGUGAUCCUGUGUCUCUCCAUAGCAUUCCCCUCAGCUUUGACAUACACACUAUUAUUCAAAGUUGUGUAAGUAAACAACUCUGUACUUAUUGUGCGUUGCUUCUGUGUCUCACUUACCCCCACCAAUGGUUCGGCCUGGAGGCAAAGGUCAGUCAUACUGGCUGGUGUGAGUGGACCGGUCUAUUGUUUAGGGUUUGUAUGGGGGACCGGUCAGACUAUCACAGGUGUGCUGGAAUAUUGUGACAUUUUGUUG